GGGCAGAUGCCGGAGUGGCCAAUCGGAACUGGCUGUAAACCAGUCGGGCUUCGCCCUACGGAGGUUCGAAUCCUUCUCUGCCCA
rnacentral:tRNA from 1 species